UCCAGAUGACUACGACUGAAACCUUUUCUACGAUAGAACACUCCUGGACGAAUGAGGGACUACACCGUCUUCCAGUCAGAGACUUAUACACCUGCUACUCAUCUGCUCGCCAUCCACCAAUCAUCACCUGGAAGUAUAUCUACCCGGCUCUUCUCACUAGUCUUCCCCAGAUCGUCCAUUUACCCAAGUGGUUCGUUCCUCUCACCUGCCUCCAAGUUACUCACCUGCUCUCCAGGAAGAUCUCACCAUGGAUUCUACUGCUCCACCUCAGCCCGCUGUCCUCGCUCUGCCUGCCUGUUCUCAUCAGUCACUCGCCAGCCAGCCGUCCUUGCCUAGUCCACCGGCUCCGGGCGUUUCCUUCUACACACCUGGUUUCUCUUCGCUUUUACAAUAAACUGAAACUAAUCUGUGUCAGUCAUGCCUUUGGGUCCAGAAUCUCUGUGUAUCGUAACAAUCCAUGUCAGCUCAGACUUCAAGGCGCUUCUGAUGACUUACAAAAUUGUGAAUGGGCAUGCCCCUUCAAAUCUGUCUGAUCUCCUUAAACCUUAUAUUCAACUCAAUCGCCAGAAUAUAAUGUUGGCAUUUUAUGUUUCUGCAAACAAUGUUAAAUCUCUGCAUUUCAAACAUUGUUGUUAAGAUCUGGUUUAGACACAAAAAACACUUGGUUAACGUCUUAAAAUUCACCUGCCCACCAGCGACCAGCUUAAGAUAGUUCUAAGUGACUUAGCAUCACGCAUAAACCCAGGGACAUCAUGCAAGCCAAAGUUCUGGGGGAGCAUUACAAAUUUUUAAGGGGUAUAAAUUUACAAAAAGACUAUAUCCACAAUGCAAAUUAAUUUAGAGAACAUAGACUAUAAAGCCACAGAUGAAAGGAACCUGCCGACAUGGUAAUAGCUGUAUUUUCAAACACAAUGCAUAGGAAGCAGCAUGAGUACAGAUGAGAUUGUUCCCAUCACCACAUAGCAGUGUCAUAGUGUCAUACAACAUACAUAGUACAUAUAACCUGUAACCACACCUAACGUUACACAUACUGAUAUAACUGGGGGGGCAAUAAUCCCAGCCAAGAGUGGGAUUUUCAUGUCUAUUAACGUCUGUCUGCAAGACUCCAAAAGGAAUCCCUAACUUUCUCCAAGUUCACUUCCUAAUUGCAAUUAAUAUUCACAUGUUUGAAAAAGGGAUUGAUGCUCUACUAACCUUAGGGAAAGGGGGUGUGUGACUUUUUGAGUUAUGAUCUAUGGCAUAAUUAGAAGAGUACAUUUGACUCAUAAUAUAAAAUGAUCAUAACUACAUAACAAAAAAUAAUGGUAAUUAAAAAAAAAUCCAGAUAUCAAAAAUCUGGUGGGGCAUGUGAGUAGUAUAUGACCCCCAUGCACGCACACGCCUACGUGCACUGUCUAACCCUGGAAUGUGUCUGGGCAUGUCUGUAGGGGUUGCUUAUGCCCAUCCUAGGGGGUGGGUUUAUCAGUGUGAAUAUAUAAGUAAUGGUCACUAGUGGGCAUUUCUGCACCUUUUUUCUGAGCAGCAAAGGACACGUAGCAGUUAUGGCAUCCAACAUAUGUGUGAUCUCCCCCAAACUGCUGAUUUUGUAGGUAUGUCUAUCAGGGUCGUCCUGGGCGAUACAGA